AUUGAACGCUGGCGGCAUGCCUUACACAUGCAAGUCGAACGGCAGCACGGGGGCAACCCUGGUGGCGAGUGGCGAACGGGUGAGUAAUGCAUCGGAACGUGCCCAGUAGUGGGGGAUAACCAGUCGAAAGACUGGCUAAUACCGCAUACGACCUACGGGUGAAAGCGGGGGACCGUAAGGCCUCGCGCUAUUGGAGCGGCCGAUGUCUGAUUAGCUAGUUGGCGGGGUAAGAGCCCACCAAGGCGACGAUCAGUAGCGGGUCUGAGAGGACGACCAGCAACACUGGGAAUGAGACACGGCCCAGACGCCUACGGGAGGCAGCAGUGGGGAAUUUUGGACAAUGGGCGCAAGCCUGAUCCAGCCAUGCCGCGUGCGGGAAGAAGGCCUUCGGGUUGUAAACCGCUUUUGGCAGGAACGAAACGGCGCAAGCCAAUACCUUGCGCUAAUGACGGUACCUGCAGAAUAAGCACCGGCUAACUACGUGCCAGCCGCCGCCGUAAAAC
rnacentral:rRNA from 1 species